rnacentral:lncRNA from 1 species
AAACUAGCGGUUGCACAGCUUUCCCAAGCUAGCAAAGAGCCCUUGGGGAAGCGCGCUCAUUGGUGGACCAGGCUGGCCUUGAACUCAGAGAUCUGCCUGCUUCUGCAGAGUGCUGGGAUUGAAGGUAAGUGCAGCUCUCACCCCUCAUCAAAGAACUUCCUUUUCAACAGAUGAAGACAAUCAGAGUUCCACAACUGAUCAGAAUGCUGAGAAUUCGCAACUGUGGGGAUAGAUUCCCCGCUUACGAGGUUUGGCAGCAGGAAGUUUUGCUCACUGUGAGAUGAAUUCAGAGCUGCCUCGGGUUGCGUUCCUACAGCUGAAACAGCAGACAAUCAGAAGCUUUGACUGAACAUAGGACAGUGACUGAACAUAGGAGAAUGUCACAUGCUGGAAGACAGGAAGACCUCUGACCCAAAACUUAGAAGAUACAGACAGACAUCACUUUCUUCAUCCCUCCAGGACCACCCAGGCCAGCAUGGCUUCCUAUGCUGAGCUCGAUGGGGCACACACACACACCCCUUCCUGUUUUAAGGAGACCCUCUCAUACCCAUGCUCCCGAUACUUUCCUCAUCUGCAGAGACUGACCUAUUUCCUGACGUUGGGCACCAUUAGACAAACCGGUCUUAUUCUGUAGCAUAGCCUGGUUUAGAUGGUCUCAGACUUACAGCAAUCUUCUAGCCUUAGCCCUCAAGAACUGGCAUUAUAAGACUAAGCUGAGUCAUCGUGCUCAGCCCUGUUAACAGUGAAGCACAUACAUAAUGCAAGCCAUGCUAGACCGGCAAGAUGUGCAGAGGCCACGGCUGUGCACGUGACCUGAGAAGUCACCAACCGAAAGACAAAUGAUCCACGAUGCUUGCUGUCUUCCAUGGUGGGAAGGCGUUGUCCUAACCCCAUGAGGACACGCUCCAACAACAAAACCUCAGAGGCAGACUGAUGGACUCCUCUCAGUUCCCAGCCUUUGUCCUCACGGGGCACAGAACACAUCUCGCCAGGUCCUGACAGCGCAGUUUGAUGCAAAGGGACCACUGUCUCUGUGUCCCCUACAUUUCAACAUGGGCUGAUAGAGUCUUACAAGGAGGGUGAACCCUAGGCCAUAAACAGGGCCUCACCCCAGAAGUCAGAAACCCAAGGGCAGUUUUUCCCACAGAGCUGGUCUGUACACCACCUUCCAGAAGGAGUUCUCGGAGUCAGCUCCGUGACUCUGUAGCUGUGGGGCUUCGGACGGUGGACAUGAGAUGGGACUUGUAGGUUUUGCUCAGUCCCGUCAUCCAGAACUUCAGCAGUUUGACGUUGUCCUCCUCUGAUGCGCCUAGGACGCUUAGGAGCUUCUGUGUGUCCUCCUUGGGGCGACUGUCUACCUUGGUGAAUUUAAACAGGACUUUCACUUUGCUGUGGAAAACAAAGACAAACACUCAGGCCCACAGUCCAGUCAAGCUCUCCUCAUGCGGCCCAAGGAGAGCUCUGCAGGCCCCACUGGAGCUGCAGCAGGCCAGGCUUAGGGGCUCAUCCCGAGGAAGGCCAGACCACUGUAGCAAAAGGAAAUGAGUGCUGUAGUAGUCUCAGCUACUCGGGAGGCCGAAGCAGGAGGAUUCCUUGAAUGCAGGGAAGUUCAAAGCCUGCCUGGCUCAGACAGGGAGGGAAAUCCCUCUUGAAAAAGAAGAGAGAGGCCGGGCGGUGGUGGCGGCGCACGCCUUUUCAUCCCAGCAUCACCUGAUUCCCCAUGAGGACAUGCCAAGCCAACAUACGGAAGGAUGGAGCACCCAAGACCUGGAACACAGCAAGCACGUAGCUCUUUAGGUAUAUUGUAGGAGUUCAUCUAGCCUCACACAGUCAGCGACUACAAUCUCUACAAUAAAGAAGACCACAGUCAGCAAAGGGAACGUUAAUUCUCCUUCUAGGGAUACUGGUGACCUGCUAGAGGCUGACAGGGGACAGAAGUCGUCACCAGGUUCAAAGGUAUUACAUUCUUUUUGUUUGUUUGUUUUCGAGAUAGGGUUUCUCUGUAUAGCCCUGACUGUCCUGGAACUCACUUUGUAGACCAGGCUGGCCU